ACAUGGAGAGCUUUCUGUGAAGCCGGGCUGUAAGGCAUCCGGUGGAGAGAUCAGAAGCGAGAAUGUUGACAUGAGUAGCGACAAACAGGGUGAGAAACCCUGUCGCCGAAAGUCCAAGGGUUCCUGCUUAAAGCUAAUCUGAGCAGGGUAAGCCGGCCCCUAAGGCGAGGCCGAAAGGCGUAGUCGAUGGGAACCAGGUUAAUAUUCCUGGGCCAGUGGGAUGUGACGGAUCGCAGAUGUAGUUUGCCCUUAUCGGAUUGGGUGAGCUGCUGAGCGGUUCCAGGAAAUAGCCCCACAUCAGACCGUACCCUAAACCGACACAGGUGGACUGGUAGAGUAUUCCAAGGCGCUUGAGAGAACCACGUUAAAGGAACUCGGCAAAAUGCCUCCGUAAGUUCGCGAGAAGGAGGCCCCAUAUGUACGCAAGUAUGUGUGGGGGGCACAAACUAGGGGGUGGCGACUGUUUACUUAAAACACAGGGCUGUGCGAAGCCGUAAGGCGACGUAUACAGUCUGACGCCUGCCCGGUGCUGGAAGAUUAAGAGGAGGGGUGCAAGCUCUGAAUUGAAGUCCCAGUAAACGGCGGCCGUAACUAUAACGGUCCUAAGGUAGCGAAAUUCCUUGUCGGGUAAGUUCCGACCUGCACGAAUGGCGUAACGAUCUCCCCGCUGUCUCUAACGUGGACUCAGCGAAAUUGAACUGUGUGUCAAGAUGCACACUACCCGCGGUUAGACGGAAAGACCCCAUGAACCUUUACUCCAGCUUUGCACUGGUAUCAGGAUUGUGAUGUGCAGGAUAGGUGGUAGGCAUUGAAGCGGGGACGCCAGUCUUCGUGGAGCCUCCCUUGAGAUACCACCCUUCGCCAUCUUGAUAUCUAACCGCGGCCCGUUAUCCGGGUCCGGGACCCUGCAUGGUGGGGAGUUUGACUGGGGCGGUCGCCUCCCAAACAGUAACGGAGGCGCGCGAUGGUUGGCUCAGACCGGUCGGAAAUCGGUCGUUGAGUGCAAUGGCAGAAGCCAGCCUGACUGCAAGACUGACAAGUCGAGCAGAGGCGAAAGUCGGUCAUAGUGAUCCGGUGGUCCCAAGUGGGAGGGCCAUCGCUCAACGGAUAAAAGGUACUCUGGGGAUAACAGGCUGAUGAUGCCCAAGAGUCCAUAUCGACGGCAUCGUUUGGCACCUCGAUGUCGGCUCAUCUCAUCCUGGGGCUGGAGCAGGUCCCAAGGGUAUGGCUGUUCGCCAUUUAAAGAGGUACGUGAGCUGGGUUUAGAACGUCGUGAGACAGUUCGGUCCCUAUCUGCCGUGGGUGCAGGAGACUUGAGAAGAGUUGACCCUAGUACGAGAGGACCGGGUUGAACGAACCACUGGUGGACCAGUUAUCGUGCCAACGGUAGUGCUGGGUAGCUAUGUUCGGACAGGAUAACCGCUGAAGGCAUCUAAGCGGGAAGCCCCCUUCAAAACAAGGUCUCCCUUGAGGGCCGUGGAAGACGACCACGUCGAUAGGCCAGAGGUGUAAGUGCAGCAAUGCAUUCAGCUGACUGGUACUAAUUGCCCGAUUGGCUUGAUCUG
rnacentral:rRNA from 1 species